GUAUCGGGGCAGGGUGAGCCCAGGGCACAGUUCAUGCAGAGUGUGUACCUGGCAUCGAGCGUCUGCCAAGGGGCAGGCACAGACCUUCGUCCCAAGUGAUGACUUGGAUCAGUGUUCUGCUCUGAGUUAUUUUUAUCCAAGGCCUGUUACUUAGUCUUGUUUCCAUGAUUGCCCAGAUGCUUUUAUUUGCACGUACAGAGACAGUAGGAGCAUGUGGUGUGAAGGAUGAUAAGUAGAAAUAGAAACUAAAGCUACAGCUUUAGAGGUGGUGAAUAAGGCUAGUUAGUAUCUCUCUUGGGAAAUGAAAUGGAAGAGAACUAAAGAUUUCUGCUCAUAAGUGUGAAGAUUGCAUUAACCUCUUAUUUAAACUGCGCAUUUUAUCAUCCUUUGAACCAACAAAAUGGACUUUUACACUGAGAACAGUUCCAUAUAAACAGGACAAGUAUAAACCAAUAUGGCUGGAAAAACAUUCUUUAUUAACUGUGAGCAAACUGACCAAAGAACCCUGGGAGCUGCCUUGUGUGGAAGGAAAUUAAUGAAGCUUUUUUGGGGUGAUGACGUUUUUACCAGUGUCAACUCCCCUGUUGAGUUUGAAUGUUUUCAGUCUGAAAAUGAAGAGUAAAGGACAACAUAGAUGUUGGAGACAGGAGACUGGUCUGGUAGGCUCUUGAACAUCAUCUGCAGCAUGGGACUACAGUCUAUAUCCAAGAAGCAGGGUCCUUACUUACAGGUGCCAAGAUGUGAAACACAUUUUCAAGUAUCUUAUUGGACAGAUAUAAGGAACAAAGUAAAAUCAAAGAAGAAACCACUGGGAUUUUCUUGUAUAAUAUUAGUGAAUAUUAACCUUACACUGUCUUCUGUGUCUCUUCGUUGUAGGCACUUGUUUGGAUUGAGAUGCAUAAUAAAUAAGCUCUGAGAGUAUGUUAAGAUGGCAGUAGCAUUUAGCAGUGCCCUCUGCAGGCUU